UUGCACGCUGGCGGCAUGCUUUACCCCUGCAAGUCGAACGGCAGCGCGGGCUUCGGCCUGGCGGCGAGUGGCGAACGGGUGAGUAAUACAUCGGAACGUGCCCAGUAGUGGGGGAUAGCUCGGCGAAAGCCGGAUUAAUACCGCAUACGACCUGAGGGUGAAAGCGGGGGAUCUUCGGACCUCGCGCUAUUGGAGCGGCCGAUGGCAGAUUAGCUAGUUGGUGGGGUAAAGGCCUACCAAGGCGACGAUCUGUAGCUGGUCUGAGAGGACGACCAGCCACACUGGGACUGAGACACGGCCCAGACUCCUACGGGAGGCAGCAGUGGGGAAUCUUGGACAAUGGGCGAAAGCCUGAUCCAGCAAUGCCGCGUGUGUGAUGAAGGCCUUCGGGUUGUAAAGCACUUUUGGCGGGAACGAAAAGGACUGUGCCAAUACCACGGUUCGAUGACGGUACCCGCAGAAUAAGCACCGGCUAACUACGUG
rnacentral:rRNA from 1 species